rnacentral:rRNA from 1 species
AGACAAAAAAUAUAAUUAAAUUUUUAUUAGUGUUAUAAUUAAAUGAUAUUAAAUUUAAUUUAAUGUAUGAUUAAAUUUAUUAGGUGAAAUUUUAAAUUUAAUAUAAGUUAAUUUGAAGUUAUUGAGGUUAUGAAAUUUUAUUAUUAGACUAGGAUUAGAUACCCUAUUAUUAAAAAUGUAAAAUUAAAAUGCUAAAGUAGUAUUAGUUAUGUGCUUGAAAUUUAAAGAAUUUGGCGGUAUUUUAGUCUAUUCAGAGGAACCUGUUCUAUAAUUGAUAGUCCACGAUUUAUAAUACUUAUUUUAAAGGUUUGUAUAUCGUCGUAGGUUGAAUAUUUUACAAGAAUGUGAAUAUUCAAAAUUCUUAAUUAGGAAGAAAAUCAGAUCAAGAUGCAGUGUAUAAAUAAGAAGAAAUGGGUUACAAUAAAUUUAUUUAAAUGGUUUAAAUAAUUAAAGUUAUUUAAUAAAGUGGAUUUGAUAGUAAUUUAAUUUAAUUUAAUUAGAUGAUUUAAGCUCUAAAAUAUGCACAUAUCGCCCGUCACUCCCACCCUAAGGUGGGAUAAGUCGUAACAAAGUAGGUGUACUGGAAAG